rnacentral:rRNA from 1 species
CCUACGGGAGGCAGCAGUGGGGGAUAUUGCUCAAUGGGGGGAACCCUGAUGCAGCGACGCCGCGUGGGUGAAGAUGCGCCUCGGCGCGUAAAGCCCUUUCAGCAGGGCAGAAUAUGACGGUCGCUUAAGCAGAAGCCCCGGCUAACAACGUGCCAGCAGCCGCGGUACUACGUAGGGGGCAAGGGUUACCCGGAUUUACGGGGUGUAAGGGGGGCGCAGGCGGUGCUGCAAGCCAGGUGGGAAGGCCCGGGGCCAACGGCCGGAACUGCCAUUGGAACUGCGUGGCUGGAAUGCAGAAGGGGCAGGCGGAAUUCCUGGUGUAGCGGUGAAAUGCGUAGAUAUCAGGAGGAACACCGGUGGCGAAGGCAGCCUGCUAGACUGCAACUGACGCUGAGGCCCGAAAGCGUGGGGAGCAAACAGGAUUAGAUACCCUUGUAGUC